GUCUGAAAGAGAGGCAGCCAUAUUACCCACAAUGCCCUCCGCCACUGGCCUGCGCUCAACAGCAUGUCGCGCUACACAGGUGCAAUGGUUGAACCAGGCCCUGACCUCUAAUGUGACCGUUAGCCGUGCGUAACUGACACCGUGACAGCGCGCCAGCCAAAUCCCGGUCAUGACAAAACUCAGUUGUCUUUAUUGGCUGCUGAUGAGAUUUCCUCAUGUUUUACAUGCUCAGGCUACAAGUCUGGUUUAAUUCAAGCCCAGGGUGCAUUACAUUUUACCAAACACACACAAGUACACACACACACACUCACCGGCCACUUCAUUAGGUACACCUGUUCAAUUGCAAACUGCACCCAUUAACGCAAAUAUCUAAUCAGCCAAUCACGUGGCAGCAACUCAAUGCAUUUAGGCAUGUAGACAUGGUCAAGACGAUCUGCUGAAGUUCAAACCAGGCAUCAGAAUGGGGAAGAAAGGUGAUUUAAGUGACUUUGAACGUGCCAUGGUUGUUGGUGCCAGACGGGCUAGUUUGAGUAUUUCAGAAACUGCUGAUCUACUGGGAUUUCCACGCACAACCAUCUCUAGGGUUUACAGAGAAUGGUCCGAAAAAGAGAAAAUAUCCAGUGAGUGGCAGUUCUCUGGGCAAAAAUGCCUUGUUGAUGGCAGAGGUCAGAGGAAAAUGGCCAGACUGGUUUGAGCUGAUAGAAAGGCAACAGUAACUCAAAUAACCACUUGUUACAACCAAGGUAUGCAGAAGAGCAUCUCUGAACGCACAACAUGUCAAACCUUGAAGCAGAUGGGCUACAGCAGCAGAAGACCACACCGGGUGCCAAUCCUGUCACCUAAUGAAGUGGCUGGAACCAAGCGUGCACCUGGAGAGAGGCCUGCCUCAUUUUCUACAGCAAGAACAUCAGCACGUCUUUCCUGCAGAGUGAUUAACAAGUCACCCCUUUUCCCUCCAGACUCUUUCAUUGUUCUAGUUAAACUUUAAAGAGUGCAGGUACAAUUACUUGGCGCACAGCGGAACCAAACACCGGCCCUCGUUCAAAUAAGGCAUCGUGCUCGGAGGGCUAGGUCUUCAUUAAUCACUUUGAUGGACGUUUAAUUUCACUUUCAGAAACUCAAGCCUUUAUGCCAAGGAGAAGGGGGGUUCUGGCUGUACACAAGAAGAAAGUCAAACAUACUUGUGCUGCGAUUCAAACCCAAACGGUCCUACAGGAAGCUGCUGAUGGCAGAAACGCUCUCUCAGUAAUCUCUGCACCUGGCAAACACACAAGAGAAAGGUUUGAGCCGCAGUCCAUGUGGAGAACUUCCAUGAAUCGCCGAGCCUAACCACAUACUCUACUGUACAACAUAUGUAGCUAUCAGCAUCUAAUUAUCCAGCUCAAU